UCCCUAUAUUCCUCUACGGGUCCCUAUGGAUCUCUAUGGCUCUCUAUCGAUCUCUAUGGGUCUCCAUGGCUCUCUAUGGCUCUCUAUGGCUCUCUAUGGUUCUCAAUGGGUCUCUAUGGGUCUCUAUGGCUCCAUAUGGCUCCCUAUGGGUCUCUAUGUUUCUCCAUGGGUCCCUAUGGGUCUCUAUGGCUCCAUAUGGCUCCCUAUGGUU